rnacentral:rRNA from 1 species
GACGAACGCUGGCGGCGUGCUUAACACAUGCAAGUCGAACGGAAAGGCCCUGCUCUUGUGGGGUGCUCGAGUGGCGAACGGGUGAGUAACACGCGAGUAACCUGCCCCUGACUUUGGGAUAACUUCAGGAAACAGGGGCUAAUACCGGAUAGGAGCUCCUGCUGCACGGUGGGGGUUGGAAAGAUUCGGCGGUUGGGGAUGGACUCGCGGCUUAUCAGCUUGUUGGUGGGGUAGUGGCUUACCAAGGCUUUGACGGGUAGCCGGCCUGAGAGGGUGACCGGCCACAUUGGGACUGAGAUACGGCCCAGACUCCUACGGGAGGCAGCAGUGGGGAAUAUUGCACAAUGGGCGGAAGCCUGAUGCAGCAACGCCGCGUGCGGGAUGACGGCCUUCGGGUUGUAAACCGCUUUCGCCUGUGACGAAGCGUGAGUGACGGUAAUGGGUAAAGAAGCACCGGCUAACUACGUG